UACGUAGGGUGCAAGCGUUGUCCGGAAUUAUUGGGCGUAAAGAGCUCGUAGGCGGUCUGUCGCGUCGAAUGUGAAAACCCGGGGCUCAACCCCGGGCCUGCAUUCGAUACGGGCAGACUAGAGUUCGGUAGGGGAGUCUGGAAUUCCUGGUGUAGCGGUGAAAUGCGCAGAUAUCAGGAGGAACACCGGUGGCGAAGGCGGGACGCUGGGCCGAUACUGACGCUGAGGAGCGAAAGCGUGGGGAGCGAACAGG
rnacentral:rRNA from 1 species